GUUUGGUUUGAUUCAGCUUCGAUCAAUGGCACGAAUACUCGGCAAAGAAGCAUCAAAGAAACUGUAAAAUAUUUUCUUUAUAAAACUUUAUUGAUCAACAUGAUCAUUACAAUUACAUUUCGAUCGUCUAGCAAUAAAACUUUUCCAAGCUAUCCUGACAUGCCACACAACUGAUCAAAUUUUUUAAACUCCCCGGGAGAUCCUCUCCUGGAAGCGUUUGAGCGAGUCUUGGCGUUGAAUCUUUAGUUGAUGGCGGAAGUUCUUAAUGAAAGCAUCAGCUUUUUCAUUUAUAUCUUCCCUAGUACCGUCCUCCAUAACCAACCUGCAGUUUCGCAUCCUUGUUAUCCUCCUUUCAUCACUUGUCGUGCCAUUAAUGUUAAGAUCAUCAUGCUUCGCAACUUCUUUAUUAUGUUCCAUUCAGGCUGCUUGGCUUGUCAAGAAGGGUUCUUCUAGCUAGAGAGAAGAGAGGUAUAAAGAGAGAGAUCGAUGUGCUCCGGAAAUGAAAUUCCUCGUGUGAUGGUUAGGGAAAGAGGGCAUAAUCCUGAAUUUAUAGGCAUAGUAAUCUACACUUUGAAGCAUGUUUUUGACAUGGGUCAAAUUAAAGCAGAUGAAAAACUCAAACAAGGUUUGAUAAGAGUGUUCAGAUUUGCUUGAUAACAAA
rnacentral:lncRNA from 1 species